rnacentral:rRNA from 1 species
UACGAAGGGGGCUAGCGUUGCUCGGAAUCACUGGGCGUAAAGGGUGCGUAGGCGGGUCUUUUAAGUCAGGGGUGAAAUCCUGGAGCUCAACUCCAGAACUGCCUUUGAUACUGAAGAUCUUGAGUUCGGGAGAGGUGAGUGGAACUCCGAGUGUAGAGGUGAAAUUCGUAGAUAUUCGGAAGAACACCAGUGGCGAAGGCGGCUCACUGGCCCGGUACUGACGCUGAGGUGCGAAAGCGUGGGGAGCAAACAGG